rnacentral:rRNA from 1 species
AUACGGAGGGGGCUAGCGUUGUUCGGAAUUACAGGGCGUAAAGCGCGCGUAGGCGGACCAGUCAGUCAGGGGUGAAAUCCCGGGGCUCAACCCCGGAACUGCCUUUGAUACUGCUGGUCUUGAGUUCGAGAGAGGUGAGUGGAAUUCCGAGUGUAGAGGUGAAAUUCGUAGAUAUUCGGAGGAACACCAGUGGCGAAGGCGGCUCACUGGCUCGAUACUGACGCUGAGGUGCGAAAGCGUGGGGAGCAAACAGGAUUAGAUACCCUAGUAGUCC